GAUGAACGCUGGCGGCGUGCCUAACACAUGCAAGUCGAGCGAAGCGGGGACGGGUGAGUAACACGUGGAUAACAUCCUAUAAGGCUGGGAUAACUUAGGGAAACCGGAGCUAAAACGGAUACUUAUCGAUGGAUCCGCGUGGCAUUAGCUAGUGGGUAAGGUAACGGCUUACCAAGGCAACGAUGCAUAGCCGACCUGGGAGGGUGAUCGGCCACACUGGAACUGAGACACGGUCCAGACUCCUACGGGAGGCAGCAGUAGGGAAUCUUCCGCAAUGGGCGAAAGCCUGACGGAGCAACGCCGCGUGAGUGAUGAAGGUCUUCGGAUCGUAAAACUCUUUUAGUAAGGAAGCGGUACCUAAUCAGAAAGCCACGGCUAACUACGUGCCAGCAGCCGCGGUAAUAC
rnacentral:rRNA from 1 species